UGGCGACGAGUGGCGAACGGGUGAGUAAUGCAUCGGAACGUGCCCAGUAGUGGGGGAUAGCCCGGCGAAAGCCGGAUUAAUACCGCAUACGACCUACGGGUGAAAGCGGGGGACCGCAAGGCCUCGCGCUAUUGGAGCGGCCGAUGUCAGAUUAGGUUGUUGGUGGGGUAAAGGCCUACCAAGCCGACGAUCUGUAGCUGGUCUGAGAGGACGACCAGCCACACUGGGACUGAGACACGGCCCAGACUCCUACGGGAGGCAGCAGUGGGGAAUUUUGGACAAUGGGGGCAACCCUGAUCCAGCCAUGCCGCGUGCGGGAAGAAGGCCUUCGGGUUGUAAACCGCUUUUGUCAGGGAAGAAACGCUCUGGGCCAAUACCCCGGGGUAAUGACGGUACCUGAAGAAUAAGCACCGGCUAACUACGUGCCAGCAGCCGCGGUAAUACGUAGGGUGCAAGCGUUAAUCGGAAUUACUGGGCGUAAAGCGUGCGCAGGCGGUGAUGCAAGACAGAUGUGAAAUCCCCGGGCUUAACCUGGGAACUGCAUUUGUGACUGCAUCGCUGGAGUGCGGCAGAGGGGGAUGGAAUUCCGCGUGUAGCAGUGAAAUGCGUAGAUAUGCGGAGGAACACCGAUGGCGAAGGCAAUCCCCUGGGCCUGCACUGACGCUCAUGCACGAAAGCGUGGGGAGCAAACAGGAUUAGAUACCCUGGUAGUCCACGCCCUAAACGAUGUCAACUGGUUGUUGGACGGCUUGCUGUUCAGUAACGAAGCUAACGCGUGAAGUUGACCGCCUGGGGAGUACGGCCGCAAGGUUGAAACUCAAGGAAUUGACGGGGACCCGCACAAGCGGUGGAUGAUGUGGUUUAAUUCGAUGCAACGCGAAAAACCUUACCUACCCUUGACAUGUCAAGAAUCUUGCAGAGAUGUGAGAGUGCUCGAAAGAGAACUUGAACACAGGUGCUGCAUGGCCGUCGUCAGCUCGUGUCGUGAGAUGUUGGGUUAAGUCCCGCAACGAGCGCAACCCUUGCCAUUAGUUGCUACGAAAGGGCACUCUAAUGGGACUGCCGGUGACAAACCGGAGGAAGGUGGGGAUGACGUCAGGUCCUCAUGGCCCUUAUGGGUAGGGCUACACACGUCAUACAAUGGCCGGUACAGAGGGCUGCCAACCCGCGAGGGGGAGCUAAUCCCAGAAAACCGGUCGUAGUCCGGAUCGCAGUCUGCAACUCGACUGCGUGAAGUCGGAAUCGCUAGUAAUCGCGGAUCAGCUUGCCGCGGUGAAUACGUUCCCGGGUCUUGUACACACCGCCCGUCACACCAUGGGAGCGGGUUCUGCCAGAAGUAGUUAGCCUAACCGUAAGGGGGGCGAUUACCACGGCAGGGUUCGUGACUGGGGUGAAGUCGUAACAAGGUA
rnacentral:rRNA from 1 species